AGGGGAUUGGAAUGUGUAGAGUCUCUUCGUUUAGAGGUAGCUCACUUGCAUCAUUUCUCAAGAUAGUUUUGUUCCCAUAUAAGAAAGUAAUAUGUUUUCAUUAGUUGUAAUCCUUUUUAUUAUGAAUUUCUAAAUUUUUUGGUAUCAGUAGAAACUGCCCGGAUCAAUGAUGCUCAAAAUUAUUAUUGCAAUUAUCUAUUUAUUUGUAUGCGUCAAGACUUUGUACCUUAGAUAAUAUGUAUUUCUGAUGAUUCAGGUUAGCUGGUCCAGGAAGUUG
rnacentral:misc_RNA from 1 species